rnacentral:rRNA from 1 species
UACGAAGGGUGCAAGCGUUACUCGGAAUUACUGGGCGUAAAGCGUGCGUAGGCGGUUUGUUAAGUCUGCUGUGAAAGCCCCGGGCUCAACCUGGGAACGGCAGUGGAUACUGGCAAGCUAGAGUGUGUCAGAGGUUGGUGGAAUUCCCGGUGUAGCGGUGAAAUGCGUAGAGAUCGGGAGGAACAUCAGCGGCGAAGGCGGCCAUCUGGGACAACACUGACGCUGGGGCACGAAAGCGUGGGGAUCAAACAGG